GAUUUUUGCAAGUUCAGCUUGAGCUUUCUUCAUAAUCCGAGGUUGUCUAAGUGUUUCUGCCAUUGCCCAUUCCAAUGUGCUUGUAGUUGUAUCCGUACCCGCACUAAAUAAGUCCUACAACAUUUGUAUAUCAAAAAAUAUAACCAUAAAUUACAGUAACUAAAAGAAA